UGGAACGAAGCGGGGCCUAGCUCUGACAAUUAGGGUCUGCGACUAGGCCAUUAACCCUUUCCGCAGCCAGCCCCCGCCCCAUCGACACCGGGCGGGGUAGGGCGCGGGCGAGGACCCCACACUGAGGUGCGGGCUGCAGCACGGAGCUGGCUGGGGAGCCGCGCGGAGGGUGGGGUCUGCGGCCUCUCCGCCCCUGCUACAGAUGUUUCGGCCAUGUAAGACAAAGGCAGAGCGCGGCCGUCGCCGGGAGAAAAUCCGCAGGACUCCCUCAGGGGCAGGUUAUGUUGGCCUGUUCCCAAGGCAGAUCCCACAGUUGGCGGCCUGGAUGGACUGGACUCCAGGAAGACAGAGCUGUGGGAAACUUCAUGGAAUUCUGCUGCCAGAGUCAGGGAAGCUUUGUGAUGUGUGAAGCCCUUGCUGAACAUAGUGAGAUUUCAUCAGCGAUGGCAGAGAGGCAAGAAUCAAGACUCAGAGAAAUCAACUGACUCCUACAAGAUCACACAGCACAGCAGGUCCUCCAAUCCUAGCCCACAGUAGCACUGCUUCCAAGGAGCUUUUCUUGUUUUAGACAAAUGCUCAAGAUCUGAUAUACAAUGAAAAAGGGACAGAAUCAGGUACUCAACACAAUCCCAA